rnacentral:lncRNA from 1 species
UGGCCGUUUAUAUCGUGCGAGCUGCUAGCAGGUGGCAGGUUGACCACCAGAACGGUGCCACCACCAUUCGGCUGGAUCUGGAGAAUAUCUCCGUUGGAGGGCAUGCUGAUCAUGCGGCUGCCAUUGACUCCGCCAGCUGAGGCCAAAGUGCUCGUACUCUGGGCUACGCUCAGCUGCGAGGGAUGAUGCAACAGCUUGGCAGUGGCUCCGGCAUUCAGACUGCUCAUCGACUCGGUCAUGGGCAGCAUGCGGGACGUGGAGGCAGCGUUGCAGGCGGACGAGCUGCUGGCAUUCACAUUGACCUGCGGCUGCGAUGGAUACGCAACCAUGUUGGGUAACUGCUGGCGGAACAUCCUCAGAGACUGCGUCGAGCCGUAGACAUCCAGGAAGGCCCACAGCUGGAGGGACUGGUCCACAUGCAUCACCACCACAGCUGGUCCGUUGUUCUUGCUGAUGCUCACUUCACCGUUGGGCGCCACGAAGAAGGCAAUCUCAUCGCCGCGCUGAGGAGCAGCUGCAAUAUCCUUGCUCACCACCCAGUACUCGGGGCGAUCGAGCAGGAAAUCCGAAUCAUUGGGCAAAUCAUUGGGCUGCAACAUGGCCGGAUUGCAGGAGGUCAGACCCAAAGCCAAGGCACCCACGUACAUCUGUUCCGUUUUCAGGACCUGCACAAUCAGCUUCUCACCAAUGCGAAUGGGACGGGCAGUGAACACAUAUCCCUGGCAGAAGUCAGAUUCCGUACGAGAAGCCACAAAGCGAUCCUGCGAGAGCCGCACAUUCCGGCCCUUGGUGUUGUGGAAGGGCACUGGAAUCAGUCGUCCGUUGGCAUUGUAGCGCAGAGGAGGCAGUCCAUUGGCCAAAUCAUGAGCAAUGGCCGCCUGUUCUACGCUAGCCACGCUUCCACCGUUUCCUGCCAAGUGCAGGGAUUGCAGGGACGGCAUCACAUGGCGCUCCAGAUCGUGCUCGAUGGCCGCAGUGUGUCCUGGCAGGGAUCUCCUCGACUGCUGAUGCGGGUGAUGGGAAUUCAGGGCGGAGGAGGCAUUGGCAGCUGGCUGGGGCAUUUGCUGUUGCUGGGCGGGCACAGUGGCCAUUGGUAUAGCCGCUGGCUGCUGCUGGUACAUGUAAAUGCGAGAAUCGAGAAACUCAAUGCCCGUGCAGUUGCCAUAGAUAUCGAUCACCGUCCACAGCAGGCUUCUCGUAUCGAUGCCGUAUGUUGUCCUUCUCGCAGUACUGCUCGUGCAGAGCCUUGGCCCAGAAGCCAGGCCUGUUGGUCAGAUCCGGACAGGCGUACUUGGGCAGCGUUCCCUCCAGCGUUACAGGAUCGUUGCUGGUGAAUCCAAAGCGAAUUCCACCGUUCCAGUUGUUCGAGAUCUCAGCAAACUUCACGCAGAUCCUCUCGUUGAUGCGAACCGGACGCGCUGAAAAGGUGAUGGCCCUGCAGAAGCUCUCAAAGCGACGGGCCAGGGUUCCGUCCCUUGAAAUUCGGAUGUUGUCGCCAUGUACGGAGUGGAAUUGCAGCGGAGGCAGGUUGUUGGGGCCAGGACAUGAAGAGGGUGAGCGGCGAACUGAAAUGGUAUAUGUGAAAGUUGAGUUAGUUAGGAUUUUUUUAUAUAGUAUUAUAUUUCAUUUAAAUUUCUUGCAAUACGAACAUGAUUUAAGCUGUUAGUUUUAUCCCACAAAUCAUUUGGAAACCUUGAAUAUACUUUCGCAUUCACGAAAUGCUGCCUUCCCACAAUCC